AAAUCGCCAUUGGCUAGUUUUUGCUUCCGCGUAUCUCAGGAGACGAUGGCUUGGAGGCUACUAGCGGUACAGACCGAACCUAUUCAUCACUACUUUUUGAUGGCCUAUCUCAUUUCCAAGUGACGUAACAAUGAUGAACUGA
ensembl:ncRNA F48C11.5 ncRNA